rnacentral:lncRNA from 1 species
CCUCCCCCGGGGUUGGAUAACGAACGUUAAACCAGUUGAAAUACACUUUUUCAAAACGUGUCACGGUAAUUGAGCGAGGAGAAGAGGGCAAAACAGGGGGGUUGAACGAGUGUAAUUACGAGCGCAACCGAUUCGGGCGCUUUUACGACGAGAGGAAACUGGACGACGACCCCGUGUCCAGUAAUAAACUUUGUAAAACCAUGUUCAACUUUCGAAGGAAAUAGCGUGGAAAUGUUAAAACGAAUUCUGGAGGAGCGUGAAAACGAGAGACCCUCCCCCCUCCCAAAUCUGUUCACCUGUACGUUCGAAGAAACGUGUCCCGUCUAUCUAGAAAUUAGGGUGAGCACAAAGGAAGAGAUGUAAGCCGGUUUUAUUGCUUCGAACGGGGAACAUCACGAGAUCACGGAAGCGCUAUAAACGAGUGGCACGUAUCUCGGGUCGAAAUAUUGCGCGCUACGUUAACAGUGCUCUGAAGUAUCGCCACUGUUGACAGAGAAGAGAAAGAGAAGAGGCGGAAAAGACGAAUGUUUGAGAGAUAGGGCGAAAACGAGGAUGGGAGAAAACCGCGAGGUCGUUAAACUUUUGGAUCGAGCUCGCGCGAAAAUAAGCCGAGAACACUUGGAAUUCUUCCUGAAAGAAUUCUCGAAAUCCAUCGAAAAUUAUCCCACGAAUUUCUUUUCCUUCCGGAUUCGAAAUUCCGGAGAACUAAGAAUUGAUUGGAUCAGAUCGAUGAAACAAAUCCUUCCAAACAAUUCUGGCGAUGUCGCCAAUUGGCAAUAUUUCCCUCUUCUAUUCUAUCCAGGGAAAAAAUUACGAAGAAACAUUUUUUUAUUAUAUCGCUAUAUCUUAUGUGUCUGGAAUAUUCGAAUGUAUGGCGGAGUCGGUUCAAUUCUUCUCCGAAUCGAUUCUUUUCGAAUUCGUUUCGACAAAGAAGAAAGACCCAUGCGUUGUCCUUCGAUAAAUUAAUUUCCGACGAAAGAUUUCAAGUAGGAAAAAAAAACUUGAAUGAAACGAUUGCUUUCCUCGAAACAGCUCGAACAGUUAUCGAGUAAACAGGAGAGUGUGUCAAGAUCGACGGGAUCCCGGACGGGGCGGAAGAAGGGAAGAAGCCGACAAAGCUCGAAAGAAGAAAAGUUACGGCAGCGUCUAGUGGCUGGUGGAACAAAAGGGAUUAUAUAUGGAUUAAUCGUUUCUCGUUGCGUUUACGGAGAUGAGGGGAACAAGGAAGGAAAGAAAGAAGGAAAGAAAGAAAGGAAGGGAUCCAUUUGGAAGAUAUAUUCUUUAUUUUGCUGGAGAAGCAGAGACGAGGGACGAUUCUCGCGAGAGGCAAGAAGUGGGAGAACGACAGGAAACGCGGAUAAUUUCCUUAUUAUCACCGUGGACGGUGAAUUCCAGAUUUAUUAGCGGUGCUUGUGCAAUAGCCUAUUCGAAUCGGCCGCGAGGGUAAUGAUUUAAUGCCACUAAAAUCAAUUCUAAUCCAUUUACGAGACCUAAUUUUCCCUAGUGGAAAAUAACCUUCUCGAUCCUGGUAUUUAUCCCGUAAGCAAUUCCAAUUUCUUCCACUUUCUAAAAAAAAAAAU